rnacentral:piRNA from 1 species
GAGAAGACAGGAAACAUCAAAAUGCUU